rnacentral:rRNA from 1 species
GUGCCAGCAGCCGCGGUAAGACGAACCGUACGAACGUUAUUCGGAAUCACUGGGCUUAAAGGGUGCGUAGGCGGUCCGAUAAGUUGGGUGUGAAAUACCUCGGCUCAACCGAGGAAUUGCGCUCAAUACUGUCGGACUUGAGGGAGACAGAGGUGAGCGGAACUUAGGGUGGAGCGGUGAAAUGCGUUGAUAUCCUAAGGAACACCGGUAGCGAAAGCGGCUCACUGGGUCUUUUCUGACGCUGAUGCACGAAAGCUAGGGGAGCGAAGAGGAUUAGAUACCCUCGUAGUCCUAGCUGUAAACGAUGAGCACUUGGUUGGAGGGUCCUCCAUAGCCCUCCAGCCGGAGCGAAAGUGUUAAGUGCUCCGCCUGGGGAGUAUGGUCGCAAGGCUGAA